rnacentral:rRNA from 1 species
UACGAAGGGUGCUAGCGUUGUUCGGAAUUACUGGGCGUAAAGCGCGCGUAGGCGGCGAUGCAAGUCAGAGGUGAAAUCCCCAGGCUCAACCUGGGAAUUGCCUUUGAAACUGCAUUGCUUGAGUGUCGGAGGGGAUAGCGGAAUUCCUAAUGUAGAGGUGAAAUUCGUAGAUAUUAGGAGGAACACCGGUGGCGAAGGCGGCUAUCUGGACGACAACUGACGCUGAGGCGCGAAAGCGCGGGGAUCAAACAGGG